rnacentral:rRNA from 1 species
CGGGUGCGUAACACGUGAGCAACCUACCGAAAUGAGGGGGAUAGCCGUCCCAACGGACGGGUAAUACCGCAUACGCUCGAGACCAGGCAUUUGGACUCGAGGAAACCUCCGGGGCAUUUCGAGGGGCUCGCGGCCUAUCAGCUAGUUGGUGAGGUAACGGCUCACCAGGGCGACGACGGGUAGCUGGUCUGAGAGGAUGGCCAGCCACAUUGGGACUGAGAUACGGCCCAG